rnacentral:rRNA from 1 species
GAUGAACGCUGGCGGCGUGCCUAAUACAUGCAAGUCGAGCGAACGGACGAGAAGCUUGCUUCUCUGAUGUUGGCGGCGGACGGGUGAGUAACACGUGGAUAACCUACCUAUAAGACUGGGAUAACUUCGGGAAACCGGAGCUAAUACCGGAUAAUAUUUUGAACCGCAUGGUUCAAAAGUAAAAGACGGUCUUGCUGUCACUUAUAGAUGGAUCCGCGCUGCAUUAGCUAGUUGGUAAGGUAACGGCUUACCAAGGCAACGAUGCAUAGCCGACCUGAGAGGGUGAUCGGCCACACUGGAACUGAGACACGGUCCAGACUCCUACGGGAGGCAGCAGUAGGGAAUCUUCCGCAAUGGGCGAAAGCCUGACGGAGCAACGCCGCGUGAGUGAUGAAGGUCUUCGGAUCGUAAAACUCUGUUAUUAGGGAAGAACAUAUGUGUAAGUAACUGUGCACAUCUUGACGGUACCUAAUCAGAAAGCCACGGCUAACUACGUG